UAAUGAUCCCUCCGUAGGUGAACCUGCGGAGGGAUCAUU
rnacentral:rRNA from 1 species